rnacentral:rRNA from 1 species
UAGUGAACCAGUACCGUGAGGGAAAGGCGAAAAGAACCCCGGCGAGGGGAGUGAAAAAGAACCUGAAACCGUGUACGUACAAGCAGUGGGAGCCCCACCACUAAGCCAGUGGUGAACUCCACAUACGCAUCCUUUGCUGAGGAUACGGUUAACGGAGCGCAAGCGACGUUCAACCUCAAAAGAAGCAGAGGGGGCUUAGUGGUGGGGUGACUGCGUACCUUUUGUAUAAUGGGUCAGCGACUUAUAUUCUGUAGCAAGGUUAACCGUAUAGGGGAGCCGGAGGGAAACCGAGUCUUAACCGGGCGUUAAGUUGCAGGGUAUAGACCCGAAACCCGGUGAUCUAGCCAUGGGCAGGUUGAA